GUUUUAUCUCGACAUUUCUAAGGACUGUUGACUUUGUAAAGAGCAACUAUUAUGGCAUGUCAUAUGAAGACAUUCUUCCUGAUCUGCCUGCUUCCUCGGGCCUUUUGCAGUCUGGCUACCAUUAUACAAUUCUUGGACCAAAAUAGGGCAGUAUGCAGCAGCCAUCAAUGUCCCAACUGAACAGUGCAGUCAGAAUUUCCAACCAUCGGCUGAAAAUUUCCUGAUAAGUGACCCAAGUGGAAAUGUAAAGAAUGUUAUAAUGGGUAAUAACAAUCCAGUCUACAGAGGCACAGAGCUAAUCGCCGCAGGAGUUCAAACACAACCAAAUCCAGCUCAUUCAGAGUUUCUGCUUCUAAACCCUGUAAAUAAUUCACCUUUGACAGAUUUAUUAAAUAGGAAAAAGAAUGCAUGCGUGUUCUACACCCUUAACUCUCCCUGUAUGAACACCUGUCUUAAUGGAUAUUACAACAUUAUACCAGGUAUUGAUGAAUUAAAAAACUAUCAGGGAAUUAAAGCCUUUGUUUUCAAAAAUAUAUGGACACAUGACCAAGGUGAAGCAAACAACGAGAAGCUGAAAGAAAACCUGAAGAAGAUUGCUGAUCGUGUGACACUUCUGCGCUGCAUAUAGUUGAAGACAACUACUGUAUAUGAAACAAUGCAUGCACCCUUUGUGGAAAGCCAAAUUCAAAUGAAGAAAUAAAAGAAGAAUGUUUGUCAGUUUGAAAAACAAACAUCAAUUAAAUGUCUAGGUUGCUUGAUUAAUUUGGUGAGCCUGCUAAGAUGCUUAAAACAGUAUGUAUGAAAAGUAUAAAGUUAAAUAAAAACA